rnacentral:piRNA from 1 species
GUUAAGGCGUUGGACUCGAAAUC